AAGGUGUCGAGAAGGGAAAAACCACCAACAGAAAGGGAGAACAGUUAGGGAAGGUUGUGAGUAUUUCCCUUCCUGUGAAAUCUCUACAGCUGAGUGAGUGUGUGCGUGCUGCACGAGUGUGGGUAACAGAGCGAGUGUGUCCACUCCCUGCUGCUGCAAACACUGUGGUCUGCUGACAAUUACAAAUCUGCCAUCUCCUCAAUGCUGUCUUCAACGCAGAGAAAAAGAGAGAAAGAGAGGAGUAGUCCUGGGCAGACAUGUGUGGGCACAGACGGAGCGUCUACGUGUGACUGGGCUCGACAAUAUAGAACUAUAAAGAGAACUAACCAAGCAGGAUUUAAACAUAGUAAGUAGUUGUUUAGCAAACAGUUUUAUCCAAACUAAAGUGACUUACAAUAAAUGUAUUUCAGGGAGAGUCCCCCUCACUCAAGGGCACAAUGGCGAUGGCUCAUGGGUCGCCCAGUGUGGCGUUCAAACCUAUAGCCUUUUGGUUUUCAGAAAGGAUGCACUGAUAUAGAUAUUAUGGCCAAUACCAAAAACCUUUUGUUGCUGCUCCAAACUAUAUGGGUUUUUUCAGUGGCUGAUGAUGAUACUAAAAUCAAGAGAGCAAGGUGGUCGAUACAUACAAUUUAAUAGCAACAAAUGAUAUGAACACAAAACGUACAGAAAUUUGUUUUUAUUUGAACGAACUCGAUAUUAAUUCUUAAAUCCCAAGAUCGAUUCAGAAGUGGCUUUCGUCUUGCCCUUUACGCACCGAGAUUUGACCAGAUUCCUUGAAUCUUUUAACUAUAUUAACUAUAUAACCCAUGCCCAAAAUCCUUCCAACUUGUCUUUGGGGAACAUUGUUCUAAAGUGCUAGAUUAUUUGCUUAAGCAUCUGUUGGCAAAUUGACAAGUCUUGAACAAUCCUUGCUCUUGAAGGACUAGGCUGUUUUUGGAGGCUCCUUAUACAGUAUAAUGACACAAUUGCCUCACCUGUUUCACAUCGUCUUAUUUCAACUCAUCAAAUUGUUAUUAGUCUUAAACUGCCGCUGUCUCAUCUUUUUGGAGUGUGUUGCAAACAUCUGAUUUGAAAUUACUGUACAUUAAAAAAAAAAAAAAAUUCACAAGGUUAAACAUAUUAUGUGUAGCGCUUUCAAUAUAGCAAAGGAUGAAUAUAAAUUUACAAAUCACUCCUUUUUGUUUUUAUAAGCAUUUUUCACACUGUCCCACCUUUUUCGGAAUUGGGGUUGUAGUACAAAUUAUGCAUAUUAACAAUAAACCUGUAACAAAAUAUGUAUAUGUGGUUAAAAAACGUGACUAGAUUGGAGAUUGGUAUACAAAUGGAAAUCGCUUCAAUGCACACAAGCAGCUCUAAAAUAUGAUUGCCCACUAGCAGCCACAGGUGUUGUACGAUGAGUUUGCCUGACACUGCGAAAGCGGAAACUGAAACACAAAAGCAAAUGUAAUACAGGCAGCACCAGGACGUGCAUUUUCAGCACGAGGGAAUGCACGUCCAUUAAAUAUGUAUUUUUGAAAAUAAAAUUUACUGUAGAUGUAAUCAGAGACAAUAUUAUUUUAGAAAAAUAAAAAUUUAAUUUAAAAUGUUUAAAUUGUAUUUAAUCAGUGACAGUGUGUAAGCAGCAUAUGUAUCAAACAUAACUGUGUAUUUUUAGUAAGCAGAAUAUUUAGCUAAUAUUUCCAUUUGGUGUCAUCGUUGCCCUGUUCUGGGCUGAUUUUUAGUCCCAGUCACUGAUGGAUCAUUUAGCACUUUUAAGAACAGUACUUUUAGCUUAAUUUUAAAGGAAAUUAACUGUUUUGCAUAUUUUAAAGCAAUAAUAAUAAUAAUAAACUUUCAAUCUUGACUUUUCUUGAUUUAGGCUUAGUUUAAUUUAGGCUUAUUUUAAAGAAUCUUGAACCAAACUGUGAGUUCAGUAUCAUGUAUCGAAUCGUGAGAUGAGUGAAUCAUUACCGCCCUAAUGUUCUGUAUAUAUGCAGAAUUAUUUAAUUUCAUAUUUAAUAUAUGCUUUUCCAAAAAAUCAUAUUUAUUGAUGGAAUACAUGGAUUUGUACAUUUUUAAAAGGCCAAAAUGAGACCACAAUUAUGAAAAACUAAUGAUAAAAUAGAAUAUGUAAAAAUGAACAUUUUCGUAAUGUACCAAAUUAGAAGGUCCCCUGUAACAGAAUUAGCGGAGAAAGAAUUUCUUUCAUAUUUAAGCAAAAUGGACAUUAUAACUAUAAUAUACUGUAUCAAUAUAAAUCGGAAUUGAAUAAAAUCAUAAUCUAAUCAAAUCGAGUGCUUGUGAAUCAGAAUUGUAUCUGGAAAUCUGUAUCAAUACCUAUCCCUACCAAAAAUGUUAAACAAAUUUCAAUAUUCAUUUGCAAAAGUCACUCAGUAUAUUUUGGAACUGACACAAGGGGCAGGUAAGCAGGUAACAAUUAGGUUAAUCGGCCAUGCCGAUGCAGUUAUCAACCGAUGCCGAUAAUCUCAAAAUAGUCCAAUAUUGGCUGGUACUUUCCUGGUAGAUAUAUUGAUCUUUAUCAUUUAAAAACACCUUGAGCUUCAAUCUAGAAUUUAUCAUGCUUGAAGUAAAAUAAGGCUGGAAAACAUUUACAAUUGAAGUCAGAAGUUUAUAUACACUUGAAGUCAUUAAAACUCAUUUUUUAAUCACUCCACAGAUUUCAUAUUAGAAAACUAUAGUUUUGGCAAGUCGUUUAGGACAUCUACUUUGUGCAUGACAUGAGUAAUUUUUCCAACAAUAGUUUACAGCCAGAUUGUUUAACUUUUAAUUGACUAUAUCACAAUUCUAGUGGGUCAGAAAUUUACAUACACUAAGUUAACUGUGCCUUUAAGCAGCUUGGAAAAUUCAAAAAAAUUAUGUCAAGCCUUUAGGCAAUUAGCUUAUGAUAUGCUAAUUGGAGUCAGUUGGAGGUGUACCUGUUAAUGUAUUUUAAGACCUUCAAACUCAGUGCUUCUUUGCUUGACAUCACGGGAAAAUCAAAAGCAAUCAGCCAAGAAAAAAAAUUGUGGACCUCCACAAGUCUGGUUCAUCCUUGGGAGCAAUUUACAAAUGCCUGAAGGUACCACGUUCAUCUGUACAAACAAUAGUACGCAAGUAUAAACACCAUGGGACCACUCAGCCAUCAUACCGCUCAGGAAGGAUAUGCAUUUUGUCUCCUAGAGAUGAAUGUAGUUUGGUGCAAAAAGUGCAAAUCAAUCCCAGAAAAACAGCAAAGGACCUUGUGCAGAUGCUGGAGGAAACAGGUUGACAUGUAUCUAUAUCCACAGUAAAACGAGUCAUAUAUUGACAUAACCUGAAAGGCUGCUCAGCAAGGAAGAAGCCAAUGCUCCAAAACCGCCAUAAAAAAGCCAGACUACAGUUUGUAAGUGCACAUGUUUUUUUGGAGAAAUGUCCUCUGGUCUGAUUAAACAAAAAUUUAACUAUUUGGCCAUAAUGACCAUCUUUAUGUUUGGAGGAAAAAGGGUGAGACCUGCAAGCCAAAGAACACCAUCCCAACCAUGAAGCAUGGGGGUGGCAGCAUCAUGUUGUGGGGGUACAUUGCUGAAGGAGGGAAUGGUGCACUUCACAAAAUAGAUGGCAUCAUUAGGAAGGAAAAUUAUGUGGAUAUAUUGAAGCAACAUCUCAAGACUACAGCCAGGAAGUUAAAGCUCGGUCGCAAAUGGACAAUGACCCCAAGCAUACCUCCAAAGUUGAGGCAAAGUGGCUUAAGGACAACAAAGUCAAGGUAUCAGAGUGGCCACCACAAAGCCCUGACCUCAAUCCAGCAGAAAAUGUGUGGGCAGAACUGAAAAAGCAAGUGCGAGCAAGGAGGUCUACAAACCUUCCAUCAACAAGCUUGUGGAAGGCUACACAAAAUGUCUGACCUGAGUUAAAAAAUGUAAAGGCAAUACUAACAAAUACUAACAAAGUGUAUGUAAACUUCUGACCCACUGGGAAUGUGAUGUAAAGAAAGAAAAGCUGAAAUAAAUAAUUCUCUCUACUAUUAUUCUGACAUUUCACAUUCUUAAAUAGUAGUGAUCCUAACUGACCUAAGACGGGGAAUGUUUUCUACGAUUAAAUGUCAGGAAUUGUGAAAAACUGAGUUUAAAUGUAUUUGGCUAAGGUGUAUGUAAAUUUCUGACUUCAACUGUAAAUAUCAAGUAGGAAAAAGGACAACUGCUUAGUACUUUUGAAACACAGCUAAGAAAAAGAAUAUACAGCUUGAAUUGGCAAAAAUGAUUAGUCCUGACAUCAUCUGCUUCUAAUAUCACCCUAAUCACACCCUAAAUGUCGCUCCAAACUCAUAUGACUUUCUGUCUUCCAUGAAACACAAAAGGUGAUAACGUCAUGACGUUGCAUGUUUGGCCACGAGAGGUGAUGAGAACUAAUGAGGUUUGAUGUUAUCGACGUAGCCACCAUAUUUGAUUAAAGCACUUUACUCAAUUUAUUUUAUUUUAUUUGAGAGUAAAUCAAUUUUUACUUCAAUUUUGUUCUUUUCAUCGCACAGUGAUCAUACAGUAUGGCUCCAAGACUUAAUAUAAUGCAUGAAUAUUAUCGAUUACUUUGUUUUGUUUUUUUUACUUGACAGACCACACUUACUAUCCAUUUACAUUAUGCCAAACAAAACCCUGUGGAACACACCUUACUGUGUUCUACAAAAGAAAGUUAUACAUGUUUAAAGCAACAUCAGUGUGAGAAAUUAAUGAUAGAAUUUUCAUUCUGGGGUGAACUAUUCCUUUAAAGAUCUGCUGCUAUUAGCCGAUACCAAUCUGUUCACAAAAAUACUGUGCAUCCCUAGUUACCAGCCCAAAUCUCCAUCCACCUCUAACAUCCAUGAAUCACACCGAUUCUCUUACUCUCUCUGUAUUCACAUGUUUUGGUUGAGGAGAGGUUAUAGGGGUAAUUAAGUUUUAGCCUCUGGAGCAUUUUUAGUGCAGACACUAUUAAUAGCCAGUCUUGCUGUCAGGUUGCGUGUGCUGGCAGUGCAGUGCAGGAGUGGAGUGGGAAUGUGAGCGCUGGUCUCAGACAGAUAACAAGCCUGAGAACAGCUGAGUCACCCUGACAGACUUUCUAUUCCUGUGGCACAGUCAGCUGGGUGCAGCAUGUGUGUGUUUGCGUGACAGGGCAUGAGUGUGACGGACCAUUACACACCAACAGACUCAGCCUUUAGGGUGACCAUACAGAUGUGCAGAGGAUACUGUUGAAACUGAUACCUGAGAGAGUCCAGUGGAGGAGGCGUGACCUGGCGGUGUGCCCGCAAGGAACUGAUCGGAGGAUGAAAAGUGGCCAAUCCAUACCAGAAUGGAGCCAAACCUGAAUGCAAGUUUGCAGAUGAUUGUGGAGGACUACUCCCCUCCUGAAACACCACCGGCACCCAUGUUUGAGAAAGCUUUUUGACUGGGGCAUAGAGACUGAAGGUCAAGUUCAAAAGCAUAUCGACACAUUCCAAUGGGAAAGCUUCUUUUUCAAAUCAAUAUUAUUUACCAUAACCUUAAUGACGUUAGCGUUAAACAGUGUCACUGCUAAAAUCCCUGGCAAGAUUUAUAGGCAGGUUGCAUUACCUACAAAAGUGCCUAAAACACUGCUUAAAUAGCUGCGUUUAUUGAUUGGUUUUUGUUGUUUCCCCACCCACACAGCCUAAAAUGCAAAAAAAAAAUUAUGUGUUGGAUUUACUUAAAAUAUAUAUGUAGCAUUUUUGCAUCACGCUUUUUAAGUAAAUUUAACUUAAUUUAAAUUUAAUGUAACUUAUGGUCAUUUUAUGUCAGCACACCAAGAAAACCUUUGUUAGAUAUACACAACUGUAUCAGUUAAUUCAACUUUAUUUACUUAAUGUUUGUCACAUGAAUAAGAUUUAGUAACUCAUAGCAAGUUGUUUCAAAUAAACAUUUAUAUGUUUCUACUUAAUUUACCUGGCUCAAAAAGAAAAUAAUUACUGACGUCAGGCAUUAAACUUGUUUCCCCUAAAAAGUGCACAUCAAGCUGUAUUUCAGCCAUACACAUUUUCACAUGCGCAAGGAAAGAUUACAUGGAUUGAACAGGAUCCAAUUUGACCACUUAUGGAACACAAAACACCCUAAUGGUGACUUUACGCGAAACAACUAUUUACAGUAAAACAACAUCAUCAAUAAUAUAUAUAAAAAAAGCUCAAAUCUCAAUAAUACUUAAUAAUAACUAAUUAAAAGCCCACAUAAGUUCAUUUUUACCUAACAAAUAUGCUUAAAUUAUUCAAGCGCAAGGGCUUAUGGGUAUUCCCCACAACCUCAGUAAGGACUUGAUUGUUUGAGUUAGUAGCACUUAAAAUCUUAAUUCUUUGGAUUUGUAAGCUAAAGAAGUUCAAGGAAUUCAUGAAGUCAUUUACUUUAUGUAACUCUCUAAGUUCACCUUAAGUUUUUUUUUUUUUUUUUUUUUUACAAAUUAAUGCAUAUUAAGUGGUUACAUUUUUUUAUAAAUAUGUACAUUUCUAAGUAGAAGUUAUUUAUUUUUAUACGUUAUGGCUGAGCCAACAAAGUUAUUUUUUUCAGUGAAAUCAGCCUAAAGGUAAAAUAAUUUAAUAGGAGGAGUAAUAUUUCCUCUCUUUGGAACAACAUGCACAGAUGAACCACGAAUGUGCAUUAAGAAAGUAAAUAGGGUCAAUUAAGGUUUCAUGUUAACUUUAACCCCACUGUCUAAGGCAGCUUUUUCCCCAUGGUCUGUAGCAAAUUAACAAAGAACAAAGUCAGGAGGAAAAAAACCUACCAGCUGUCUGCCUCACUUACAGCAUGCUUUCCUUACAUGUAUACUGUAGCAACCAGCCACAGCAUGAAACUCCCCAGCGAAUACUGGUUAUGGUAUUUUAUCAUCACAUAUACUGGCAUAUGAGAGAGUGCAGUGUCAAAGUGAGUUCUCCCUGGAUUUUCAAAGUCGCUGAAGUAAUUAAAAAUUGUAAAUGCGGGCCCGAAACUAAUAAUGACAUUAACUUGGUGGUUGAACUGGGAGAGACCUCAGUCUGUUGAACUCCAAAAAUCAUUAAAGAAAAAGGGAGACCCGCAGUACUGUCUUCUUUCUCGCAGAUCAAAGACAAGGAGGAGGCUUCAAAGAAAGAGCACCCACUUUCUGCAAGUAUGAUGGUUAAAUUGCAUCCAUCUGCAAGCCAGACCUGCAUGCCUGGAAAGAGCUAUGCUAAAACAAAUCCCUCUACCUUGGUUAUGCACCAUAGGUCUGUUGCAAAACCUAGUGAGCUGCCUCUCUGUUUACAGUUUACAUAGGCAUCUGUCUCCUCAGAUACUAUUCUAACAGAGAUGGAACCUCAAAAGAGGCCACACCCACACUAAUCCAUUUUUGUCUGAAAACUCAUUGAUUUCAAUAUGUUUAUGCCUCUUAUCCACUAGAAUGGCGCUUCCCUCCACCGAAAAUGGAGCAUUUCGAAAAUGCGCUCCAUUACGGCAUACUUUGGAAAAUUAUUUUUUUUUUUUUUGUUUUGUUUUUUUUAAAGAAAACGGAUUAGCAUGGAUGACGUGGCCUCAAGUUUCAAUUUCAGUGGAGGAAAACAGGAUUCCAGUGUGGAUGAGAGUCAUAAACAUAGCAAAAUCAAUGAGUUUUCAAAUGAAAAUGUAUUGGUGUGGAUGUGGCCUGAUUUGCAAUUGUUUCCAAUGGAGUUUGAUGUUAGCAUGUUGCUAAGCUAAUGACGGCGACAAGCAGAAGAACAUUCUGUCGAUCGCUUGCUUUCUAUAGGCGAAUUCCAAUUGAAAGUGAUCAUCCCUAUGCCCUACUCACUUCGAAGGACAAAUCUCUUGAUGUAGGCACACUGAAGGGAGAAUGAAAGUAUUGUAAGAUUGUACCCUUCGCUAAUCAGUCUUGUAAAAGGGCUUUUUGUGAAUUUUUUUUUUUGGAAUGACGCUUAGAGUGGCAUCCCCUUUCCACCGUGCCCUUCAAGGCCGCAGAACUGCCGUUUGGAAAACACUAUUUCUGCAGCUCCAAGUAGCCCCGCCCACUUUGCACUCUCACUGGUUCAAACCCCAGCUUCUCAUAACAUUAAAGAUAAAAUAUGUUCUGACUGGAUGUAAUUGUGCUGUGCCGCGCAGCAUUAUCACACUCUGUGGACGAUGGUGUUGAUCAGUUUUGAUUAGCACUGCAACGGUACACAAAAUUCACGGUUCGGUACAUACCUCGGUUUUGAGAAUCUUUCUUUAAAUUAUUUAUUUCGAAAACAAAGUGGCUGAUGGGCUACAAUUCUUUUUGUGAUGGCUCAUUUAUACAUGACUGCACUAUUUCUUCAACGAAAUAACAAUACAGAGCCUCUUAUAUGCACAUUGUAAACAAACAAAUAAUAAUAAAAGGGCAAAAAUGCAAUUAUAAUAACUGUGACAAAAUUAAGGCAUUAGCAGUGCAGAUUUCUGUAUCUUUUGCCUUUCAGCUUACCACUUGUACUUACCACUCAAUAUUCAAGUUUUUUUUCUCGAGAAAAUCCACAUUAUCGGACGAGAGGGUGGUCGUAUAUCUGCAGCAAAAAAUACUCCUGUGGCGUUCGUUAUUGCUUUAAGCCUGUCUGAGCUUACAGCGAGAGGCUGCUUGAACGCCAUGGUGAGACUAACUUGCACAGGCUGUUUAUGCUUUGCUCCCAUAAGAUCAAGAGGCAUGUGGAUAAUGUUGCCGCAAAAGAGUCAUCAUGUUAGAUGAGCUUCAUGAGCAGGGCCGCUGAUAAGAGGGACAACUGGACCUUUUGUCCCAGGCAGAAAGGCUGUUCCAUAAUGUAUAGUGCAUGUAAGUAUGUUCAGCAGGAGACGCGGAUAUAAACACAGAGACAGCGUGCAAAAGUCGCCGGGGCAGCGAGCACGUUGAUCAAAGAACUGUCUGCAUAAACUUCACAUGCAUUUGUCUGAUCCGCAGUUUCUAGUGUACCAUCUGCCGCUCUGUUCUGUUAAGUUUUGAUUCAGUGCGGUCCCGUGAUGCUCUGCAAACUCUUUUCAUUUUAGUUCUACGCGGUUUGUGUUGUUCGUUAUAUGUUGUUUUAAUAUUGGUUUCACACAUGCUAAGAUAUGUAAUCAUUCAUGUACCGUACCGAAGGCCCUGCAUCUGUUCGGUUCGGAUACAUGUACCGUUGCAGCCCUAGUGUCGAUGGAAUCUUAUUGCAUCACGUAUGGUUAGCACAUGGUGUUAGAAUAUGUCCAAAAUGCAUUAUCUUAAAGCAGCAUAAUUCUUUUUCUAAACUUUUGGCACAGCCUUUGUGUCCAGCCAUUUAUAAUUCCUUAAAAUGCUCCCAACAGAGGAAGCUCACUAGGUUUUGGAACAUACAGUAUCAAUCUGAACUCAGUCUGACAGCUGAACUGAACACCGGCAAUUUCAAACAACUGGCUCUACCCUCCUGCUCUUUUUCAACUAAAAUUCCCACUUUCCCAGGCAUCAUCGGCAGGUGGGGACUGACCCACUUAUGUGCAGGGAUUACGCAGCUUAUCCAGCAGCCUGGGCUUUUCCAGGGUGAGGUGCUGUGCUAAGGAGGGGGUUGGGGGAAACAGGCGUGAGAUCACGGUUCCCAAAUCGAGGGGGGUCUCUGAUCCAACUCAGGAAGCAGGAACAUGGGAAAGACCAGCACAGCAGAAAAAGUACCCCACCCCUCAACUUCCCUCACCACUAUCCAAACAUCAUUAGACUGGUUCUGUAAAUCUCAGGUCACUCCAGCCUCUCUCUGUGUUGCUCCUCAUUUAGCCAUCUCUACAGCAAUAUAUUUAAGCUAAACCAAGUGGCAUAUUCUGGAAACAAAUGAUGCUGGAGCUUUUCUCAGCACUAAAUUCCUUUAUCUCAGCUAUUUUUGCAAUGAUUUUUACGCAACUGGUGUCAGGGUGAUUUUUAGUGGAUGUGUGAAGUCAGCUGCCCUUUUAGUUCACACAGGUGCCCUAGCAGAAUAACCACAGGUGUACUUCAUCAGAUUAACUAAU